rnacentral:rRNA from 1 species
GAAUGCUGACAUAAGUAACGAUAAAGCGGGUGAAAAGCCCGCUCGCCGGAAGACCAAGGGUUCCUGUCCAACGUUAAUCGGGGCAGGGUGAGUCGACCCCUAAGGCGAGGCCGAAAGGCGUAGUCGAUGGGAAACAGGUUAAUAUUCCUGUACUUGGUGUUACUGCGAAGGGGGGACGGAGAAGGCUAUGUUGGCCGGGCGACGGUUGUCCCGGUUUAAGCGUGUAGGCUGGUUUUCCAGGCAAAUCCGGAAAAUCAAGGCUGAGGCGUGAUGACGAGGCACUACGGUGCUGAAGCGACAAAUGCCCUGCUUCCAGGAAAAGCCUCUAAGCAUCAGGUAACAUCAAAUCGUACCCCAAACCGACACAGGUGGUCAGGUAGAGAAUACCAAGGCGCUUGAGAGAACUCGGGUGAAGGAACUAGGCAAAAUGGUGCCGUAACUUCGGGAGAAGGCACGCUGAUAUGUAGGUGAAGCGACUUGCUCGUGGAGCUGAAAUCAGUCGAAGAUACCAGCUGGCUGCAACUGUUUAUUAAAAACACAGCACUGUGCAAACACGAAAGUGGACGUAUACGGUGUGACGCCUGCCCGGUGCCGGAAGGUUAAUUGAUGGGGUUAGCGGUAACGCGAAGCUCUUGAUCGAAGCCCCGGUAAACGGCGGCCGUAACUAUAACGGUCCUAAGGUAGCGAAAUUCCUUGUCGGGUAAGUUCCGACCUGCACGAAUGGCGUAAUGAUGGCCAGGCUGUCUCCACCCGAGACUCAGUGAAAUUGAACUCGCUGUGAAGAUGCAGUGUACCCGCGGCAAGACGGAAAGACCCCGUGAACCUUUACUAUAGCUUGACACUGAACAUUGAGCCUUGAUGUGUAGGAUAGGUGGGAGGCUUUGAAGUGUGGACGCCAGUCUGCAUGGAGCCGACCUUGAAAUACCACCCUUUAAUGUUUGAUGUUCUAACGUGGGCCCCUUACCGGGGUUGCGGACAGUGUCUGGUGGGUAGUUUGACUGGGGCGGUCUCCUCCUAAAGAGUAACGGAGGAGCACGAAGGUUGGCUAAUCCUGGUCGGACAUCAGGAGGUUAGUGCAAUGGCAUAAGCCAGCUUGACUGCGAGCGUGACGGCGCGAGCAGGUGCGAAAGCAGGUCAUAGUGAUCCGGUGGUUCUGAAUGGAAGGGCCAUCGCUCAACGGAUAAAAGGUACUCCGGGGAUAACAGGCUGAUACCGCCCAAGAGUUCAUAUCGACGGCGGUGUUUGGCACCUCGAUGUCGGCUCAUCACAUCCUGGGGCUGAAGUAGGUCCCAAGGGUAUGGCUGUUCGCCAUUUAAAGUGGUACGCGAGCUGGGUUUAGAACGUCGUGAGACAGUUCGGUCCCUAUCUGCCGUGGGCGCUGGAGAACUGAGGGGGGCUGCUCCUAGUACGAGAGGACCGGAGUGGACGCAUCAC